UCUCCAUUUCACACACUGUCUCACCGGUCAGAGAGGCAUGAGAGUGUGCGAAAUGAAGAGA
rnacentral:pre_miRNA from 1 species